rnacentral:misc_RNA from 1 species
CCCAACGUUUAUAUUAUUUGAAUCCAUAUCAUAAGGUGUAACGAAAUUUUUACGCUGGUUGUCAUCUACCGCAACCCUCCUCCUUUAUCUGGGCUUGGGACCGGCUAAGUACAAACUACUUAGGCGGAGUUAUAAGAAACAUUCCAAUAGAAAAUUUCUAGGGGAAGAGGGAUUUAUGAAAAUUCUAAUUUAUACUGUAGUGAAUGCUUUUGUUGGGAAUUCUAGCAUGAUUUGUGUUGACAGAAACACACUUUGCUCACUUGAUGUCUGAAAAUUGCAAAUCAAGUCUGAAGUUACAGCAUGCAAUAUGUACUUUGAGGUAUCCUUAUUCUUUGAUGUGGAAGGCCUUUUUUGGUUUUGGGGAGCGGUGGCUUGGAUUGGGACGAGGAAUCAUGUUAAUACUUUUAUGCUAAAUAUGUGUUUGAAGAAUGUGUCAAAUAAACUUAUUGUCAAUGAUUGAUUAGGGUAUGGAGUAAUAGUUGCAACUACAGGAAGAAAAACC